UACGGAGGGUGCAAGCGUUAUCCGGAUUCACUGGGUUUAAAGGGUGCGUAGGAGGGCAGGGAAGUCAGUGGUGAAAUCUCCGGGCUUAACUCGGAAACUGCCGUUGAUACUCUCUGUCUUGAAUCCCGUGGAGGUGAGCGGAAUAUGUCAUGUAGCGGUGAAAUGCUUAGAUAUGACAUAGAACACCAAUUGCGAAGGCAGCUCGCUACACGAAGAUUGACUCUGAGGCACGAAAGCGUGGGGAGUCAAACAGGA
rnacentral:rRNA from 1 species